ensembl:lncRNA
UAGUUCCAGUGAUGAAGCUUUAUGGUCUUACCAUGUGAAGUAUUUCCAGAGGCGUAUCCUGGCCUGCUAGGUCUGGCCAUUUGUGGCUGUUGUAUCAUCAUCUUUUUUUGUUUUACUUGCUGUCAAAACAUGUGCUGGUCACAUGGUGGGCUCUGCUCUGAGCAACAAUGGGUUUUGCUGGUUAAAUAUUUCUGCCUUGGCUGGAAGAGCUGCGCUGCAGUCAGGAGCUUGCAGCCAGACCUGCGGAUUAGUAUUUACUUUGCUCGUGUCUGAAUGCUUCAGGUUAGCAUGGGACGAGGCAGACUGCAGAGAUGCGCUCAGGUCUUCUGGUGCUCACAGCUACAGAGAGGGUGAGGACGAGUGACAGAAAGCAGCCACCCUGGAAACAUAGGCUUUCUGAAGUCUGAAAAACGUACCGAACGUAUAAAGUAGGGCAUGAUGUUCUCAUACCAAACAGAAUGCUGACUGUGACAAAUGCUUGGACAAUGCACGCAUUCUCGCUCGUGGAGCUGAAUGAGAUGCGAAUAACAGCAAAAAAAAAAGGCAAAGUGGUGUCAGCAGCAGAGAUGUGCAUUAAAAGAGCUCGGUGCAAGCAGUGGAUGCUUUUUGUAACUUCAGUGCAGCAGGUCCCAUCCAGGCCCCACAGGCUGUCAGCUUAUCCUGCAGCAGGGAAGCGGGGCUCUCUGCACUGCUCUCAUCUGGCUCAUACUUCAUCGCAGGGAUCUAUUUCUGAGUCUGCAUCAGAUUUUGCAGUCCCGGCUGUCUUAUAGCAGCCUGAUUUAGGUCUCGUUGGGUUGGAAAGCAUACACAGUGCUGCGAUUCGGGCUCGCUCACAGACUUUUGGCACGUCCACAGCUGUUUGUACAGUGGUAUUGUACUGACAGAGCACGACACGCUUUGAGGAGGGCAGAUGGGAACAAUGUGCCGGAUUGCUGCGUGGGCCAGUGUGACUCACCGAGGGCUUUAGAGGUCUUUCAGGAAAAGCUGACAGGCCUCAGUGGGCUCAGUAGCUUCAUGGGGCUUUUCCCUGAGUAGGAAUCCCCAGCGGCUCUCUGGUUUGGGCUGAGUGGCUUAUGGGCACUUUGGGUCUGUGAGAUGGGCCUCCUGGUGCCGACAGCCAGGGCUGCCUUGGAGAAGCUCUGGAGCUUAAUGCAUAGAGGGAAGGAGGUGUGUGCGAUGAGUGCUUGGGAAGUCCCUCUGCUCUUUGAACAAGGGGAAUAUUUCCACCCCUGCUUUCACGUGGUGAGUGUUUUGGGUGGUUUAAUUUGUGCGCAGUGCUUCCUAUGAGAGGUUGGGGCUGUCAGAGAUGCGGGACCCCUGAAGCAGUGAUCCCACACGUCCGCUCCGCUCACCCGAUGUGAGAGGACACGCUGUGUGCUCCCUGUAAAUAUCUAUAAAGCACAGAAUUGUGGAGUGGAUUGGGUUGGAAAAGAC